rnacentral:misc_RNA from 1 species
AACGCACCUUGCGCCUCUUGGUAUUCCGAGGGGCAUGCCUGUUUGAGUGUCAUUGAACUCUCAACCCCUCGGGUUUUACGACCCGAUCGGUUGGACUUGGGCGCUGCCGCUUUGCUGCCGGCUCGCCUCAAAGGUCUUAGCGGGAAUGGUCUCCAGCGUUCGGCGUAAUAAGUUUCGCCGUCCGCCCGACCGACGUCCGCUCACAACCCCCGUACUCUUUCGACUUGACCUCAAAUCAGGUAGGACUACCCGCUGAACUUAA